rnacentral:rRNA from 1 species
CGUGGGUAGCAAACAGGAUUAGAUUACCCCUGGUUAGUCCACGCCGUAAAACGAUGUCGACCAGCCGUUGGGUGCCUAGCGCACUUUGUGGCGAAGUUAACGCGAUAAGUCGACCGCCUGGGGAGUACGGCCCGCAAGGUUAAAACUCAAAUGAAUUGACGGGGGCCCGCACAAGCGGUGGAGCAUGUGGUUUAAUUCGAUGCAACGCGAAGAACCUUACCUACUCUUGACAUCCUGCGAAUUUGGUAGAGAUACCUUAGUGCCUUCGGGAACGCAGAGACAGGUGCUGCAUGGCUGUCGUCAGCUCGUGUUGUGAAAUGUUGGGUUAAGUCCCGUAACGAGCGCAACCCUUGUCCUUAUUUGCCAGCGCGUAAUGGCGGGAACUCUAAGGAGACUGCCGGUGACAAACCGGAGGAAGGUGGGGACGACGUCAAGUCAUCAUGGCCCUUACGAGUAGGGCUACACACGUGCUACAAUGGUCGGUACAAAGGGUUGCCAACUCGCGAGAGUGAGCCAAUCCCGAAAAGCCGAUCUCAGUCCGGAUCGGAGUCUGCAACUCGACUCCGUGAAGUCGGAAUCGCUAGUAAUCGUGGAUCAGAAUGCCACGGUGAAUACGUUCCCGGGCCUUGUACACACCGCCCGUCACACCAUGGGAGUGGACUGCACCAGAAGUGGUUAGCCUAACGCAAG